CCUACGGGUGGCAGCAGUGGGGGAUAUUGCACAAUGGAGGAAACUCUGAUGCAGCGACGCCGCGUGAGGGAAGACGGUCUUCGGAUUGGAAACCUCUGUCUUUGGGGAAGAAAAUGACGGUACCCAAAGAGGAAGCUCCGGCUAACUACUUGCCAGCAGCCGCGGUAAUCCGUAGGGAGCGAGCGUUGUACGGAUUUACUGGGUGUAAGGGGGGCGUAGGGGGGCGAGAAAGUUGAAUGUUAAAUCUACGGGCUUAACUGGUAGCUGCGUUCAAAACUUCUUGUCUUGAGUGUAGUCGCGGUAGGCGGAAUUCCUAGUGUAGCGGUGAAAUGCGUAGAGAUUAGGAGGAACACCAGUGGCGAAGGCGGCCUGCUGGGCUUUAACUGACGCUGAGGCUCGAAAGCGUGGGGAGCAAACAGGAUUAGAUACCCGUGUAGUC
rnacentral:rRNA from 1 species